rnacentral:rRNA from 1 species
UACGAAGGGGGCUAGCGUUGUUCGGAUUUACUGGGCGUAAAGCGCACGUAGGCGGAUUGUUAAGUCAGGGGUGAAAUCCUGGAGCUCAACUCCAGAACUGCCUUUGAUACUGGCAAUCUUGAGUCCGGAAGAGGUGAGUGGAACUCCUAGUGUAGAGGUGGAAUUCGUAGAUAUUCGCAAGAACACCAGUGGCGAAGGCGGCUCACUGGCCCGGUACUGACGCUGAGGUGCGAAAGCGUGGGGAGCGAACAGG